rnacentral:rRNA from 1 species
CUACGGGUGGCUGCAGUGGGGAAUAUUGGACAAUGGGGGAAACCCUGAUCCAGCAAUGCCGCGUGUGUGAAGAAGGCCUGCGGGUUGUAAAGCACUUUCGGUUGGGAGGACUGCUUCUAGCACUAAUAUUGUUGGAAGUUGACGUUACCUUCAGAAGAAGCACCGGCUAACUCCGUGCCAGCAGCCGCGGUAAUACGGAGGGUGCAAGCGUUAAUCGGAAUUACUGGGCGUAAAGCGCGCGUAGGCGGCUAGAUCAGUCGGGUGUGAAAGCCCCGGGCUUAACCUGGGAACUGCAUCCGAUACUGUCUAGCUUGAGUACAGGAGAGGAGAGUGGAAUUCCACAUGUAGCGGUGAUAUGCGUAGAUAUGUGGAGGAACACCAAUGGCGAAGGCAGCUCUCUGGCCUGAUACUGACGCUGAGGUGCGAAGGCGUGGGGAGCAAACAGGAUUAGAUACCCGGGUAGUC